rnacentral:rRNA from 1 species
AACGUAGGAGGCAAGCGUUAUCCGGAAUUACUGGGCGUAAAGGGCGCGUAGGCGGCCUUCUAAGUCGAACGUGAAAUCCCUGGGCUCAACCCAGGAACUGCGUCCGAUACUGGAAGGCUUGAAUCCGGGAGAGGGAUGCGGAAUUCCAGGUGUAGCGGUGAAAUGCGUAGAUAUCUGGAGGAACACCGGCGGCGAAGGCGGCAUCCUGGACCGGUAUUGACGCUGAGGCGCGAAAGCCAGGGGAGCAAACGGG